rnacentral:rRNA from 1 species
GACGAACGCUGGCGGCGUGCUUAACACAUGCAAGUCGAACGAUGACGACCGAGCUUGCUCGGUCUGAUUAGUGGCGAACGGGUGAGUAACACGUGAGCAACCUGCCCUUCACUCUGGGAUAACCUCGGGAAAUCGGGGCUAAUACCGGAUAUGAGCUCCUGUCGCAUGGCGGGUGUUGGAAAGUUUUUCGGUGAGGGAUGGGCUCGCGGCCUAUCAGUUUGUUGGUGAGGUAGUGGCUCACCAAGGCGAUGACGGGUAGCCGGCCUGAGAGGGCGACCGGCCACACUGGGACUGAGACACGGCCCAGACUCCUACGGGAGGCAGCAGUGGGGAAUAUUGCACAAUGGGCGAAAGCCUGAUGCAGCGACGCCGCGUGAGGGAUGACGGCCUUCGGGUUGUAAACCUCUUUCAGCAGGGAAGAAGCGAAAGUGACGGUACCUGCAGAAGAAGCGCCGGCUAACUACGUG